rnacentral:rRNA from 1 species
AUGGCCGACAGGGCGGCGGUGGCGGUGUCGCUCCCGGAGGACGCCAUCCGCGAGAUCCUAGUCCGCGUGGAAAGCGAGGCUGCUCUCUUCCGCUGCGCCGUGACGUGCAAGCGCUGGAGCCGCCUCGUAGCCGACCCUUCCUUUCUUCGUCGUCGCUGGCCGGAUGAUCAAUGGGUGGGACGCUUCCUUGCCGGGUUCUUCGCCCCGAAACGGCUCGACCGUACGGACCCCAUGUUCCGGACAGGGGAGCCCAUGUUUGCCACGUUUUUCGUCCCGACGCCCCGGUCCGUGUUCGGCCCCUGCCGGCGCUCCCUCGCCUCCUUUUUCCCCGACGUCGACGCCCACAUCCUCGACCACGCGGUGCCACUCACCGCGCGUCGUGGCCUCCUCCUCGUGUGCCUGGCCUCCCGCCGGCAGUACAACAUGUCGGUCAUACAUCUGGCCGUGUGCAAUUUGCUUGCUGGCGUGUGCAACGUGCUUCCCCUGCUAAGCAGCGAUUUGGAGUUUGAUAAAAGCGGCUACGCCAUCCUAACUAGCGCAGACUGUUCCUCGAGCACAACCCAACAGUGUUCGCAACCGGGCUGCUCGACCUUCUUCAAAGUGCUAAUCACUGGCCGGAGGUAUCUAGGUUCGCACAACCUCUACAUGUUCUCGUCCAGCGAGGCCAGGUGGAGCAAGCCUACACAAUUAACUUUGGACACUCCCGGGGUGAUCCACGACUGUCUACAUCCGGAUGGUGCCGUCUCUCGUGGCAAGGUGCAUUGGAGCGUCGGGGACUGGUCAUGCCGCUGCUCUCUUGACAUGGACAUGGAGACGUAUCACAUCUCUCAGGCUAGGAUCAUGGCCUGGACAAUUUACGUGGAAACCAGCGACGAGCCACAACUCGGGGUCACCACGAAUGGGACGCCCUUGGUCUUAACUCUGUCAAGACCAGGCCUCAAGCUAAAGAUCUCAACGUGGCAAGAUGACAAUAAGAGCAAGGAUGGUGCUAUUGCCAAGGCCGGGCGACUCGCGACUCGCAUUGUCGAGUUGAAACCACCUAGGCAGAUUAAAAGAAGUCCAAAUCAAAUACACUUGAGAUUGUUAGGAGAGAAGAGUGGCACGAUGCUACUGAUGGAUAGUCAGAGACAGAUUUACAUCGCUGACAUUGAGACAGGAGUGAUGGAGGAGUUUGAGCUGCCGGAUGGUUUUGAUGGGCUUAACCGUUCGAAGGUCGUCUUGUUGGAGAUGGACUGGUCGGCACUAUUUGUUUCUCGGCUUGGGAAGUGGUAG